rnacentral:rRNA from 1 species
AUUGAACGCUGGCGGCAGGCCUAACACAUGCAAGUCGAACGAGUGGCGGACGGGUGAGUAAUGUAUGGGAAACUGCCCGAUGGAGGGGGAUAACUACUGGAAACGGUAGCUAAUACCGCAUACCAUCGGAUGUGCCCAGAUGGGAUUAGCUAGUAGGUGAGGUAACGGCUUACCUAGGCGACGAUCCCUAGCUGGUCUGAGAGGAUGAUCAGCCACACUGGGACUGAGACACGGCCCAGACUCCUACGGGAGGCAGCAGUGGGGAAUAUUGCACAAUGGGCGCAAGCCUGAUACAGCCAUGCCGCGUGUAUGAAGAAGGCCUUCGGGUUGUAAAGUACUUUCAGUGGGGAGGCGUUACUCGCAGAAGAAGCACCGGCUAACUCCGUGCCAGCAGCCGCGGUAAUUC